CACAGCCCUUAUUUUUGUUGAUCCUUUAUUACGCAGUAGCGUACAGUUUGCACUGCUGUGUAUAGAGUGUGUGCAAGAGUGAUAUAUUAUCGUAGUGUACGUGCUGAGAGUUCGUACAUAGCGAAGCAUAGCGAUGGCUGUGGUGGAUCCAAUUAACGCUGAAUCUCAUGGAAAUGUUCCUCGAUACUCGAAGUCCCGAAAAAGCCACUGUCGCCGUUCGCCAAGUUUCGUCAGCUCGAUAGACAAAAUAGCGCCUCUUUAUCACCAAGUCCUAUAAAAUCACCGGCGACGGAAUUUCGAUUCAAAUUUACCGAACCAACUGUACGAGACAAUGCUGCGCA